AGUGAACGCUGGCGGUAGGCCUAACACAUGCAAGUCGAACGGCAGCACAGUAAGAGCUUGCUCUUACGGGUGGCGAGUGGCGGACGGGUGAGGAAUACAUCGGAAUCUACUUUUUCGUGGGGGAUAACGUAGGGAAACUUACGCUAAUACCGCAUACGACGUACGGGUGAAAGCAGGGGAUCUUCGGACCUUGCGCGACUGAAUGAGCCGAUGUCGGAUUAGCUAGUUGGCGGGGUAAAGGCCCACCAAGGCGACGAUCCGUAGCUGGUCUGAGAGGAUGAUCAGCCACACUGGAACUUGGACACGGUCCAGACCCCUACCGGAGGCAGCAGGGGGGAAUAUUGGACAAUUGGCCCAAACCUGAUCCAGCCAUACCCCGUGGGUUAAGAAGGCCUUCCGGUUCGUAAGACCUUUUUAUGGGAAAGAAAAGCAUCAGGUUAAUACCCCGCUGGUCUGACGGUACCCAAAGAAUAAGCACCGGCUUACUUCGUU
rnacentral:rRNA from 1 species